GUGCCAGCAGCCGCGGUAAUACGUAGGGUGCGAGCGUUAAUCGGAAUUACUGGGCGUAAAGCGUGCGCAGGCGGUUCGCGAAGUCCGAUGUGAAAGCCCUGGGCUUAACCUAGGAAUGGCAUUGGAAACUGGCGGGCUGGAGUCCGGCAGAGGGGGGUGGAAUUCCUGGUGUAGCAGUGAAAUGCGUAGAGAUCAGGAGGAACACCGAUGGCGAAGGCAGCCCCCUGGGCUGAGACUGACGCUCAGGCACGAAAGCGUGGGGAGCAAACAGGAUUAGAAACCCUCGUAGUCC
rnacentral:rRNA from 1 species